GAUGAACGCUGGCGGCGUGCCUAAUACAUGCAAGUCGAGCGAACAGAUGAGGAGCUUGCUCCUCUGACGUUAGCGGCGGACGGGUGAGUAACACGUGGAUAACCUACCUAUAAGACUGGGAUAACUUCGGGAAACCGGAGCUAAUACCGGAUAAUAUAUUGAACCGCAUGGUUCAAUAGUGAAAGACGGUUUUGCUGUCACUUAUAGAUGGAUCCGCGCCGCAUUAGCUAGUUGGUAAGGUAACGGCUUACCAAGGCAACGAUGCGUAGCCGACCUGAGAGGGUGAACGGCCACACUGGAACUGAGACACGGUCCAGACUCCUACGGGGGGCAGCAGUAGGGAAUCUUCCGCAAUGGGCGAAAGCCUGACGGAGCAACGCCGCGUGAGUGAUGAAGGUCUUCGGAUCGUAAAACUCUGUUAUUAGGGAAGAACAAAUGUGUAAGUAACUAUGCACGUCUUGACGGUACCUAAUCAGAAAGCCACGGCUAACUACGUG
rnacentral:rRNA from 1 species